rnacentral:rRNA from 1 species
AGAAUCAACGCUGGCGGCGUGCCUAACACAUGCAAGUCGAGCGAGAAAGUGGAGCAAUCCAUGAGUAAAGCGGCGCACGGGUGAGUAACACGGUGACUAACCUGACCCUUGAGUGGGGAAUAACCUGGGGAAACCCGGGCUAAUACCGGCAUAACCACCUACGGGUACAAAGGAGCAAUUCGCUUAAGGAGGGGGUCGCGGCAGAUUAGUUAGUUGGCGGGGUAAUGGGCCCACCAAGACGAUGAUCUGUA